rnacentral:rRNA from 1 species
GACGAACGCUGGCGGCGUGCUUAACACAUGCCAGUCGAACGGAAAGGCCCUGCUUUUGUGGGGUGCUCGAGUGGCGAACGGGUGAGUAACACGUGAGUAACCUGCCCUUGACUUUGGGAUAACUUCAGGAAACUGGGGCUAAUACCGGAUAGGAGCUCCUGCUGCAUUGUGGGGGUUGGAAAGUUUCGGCGGUUGGGGAUGGACUCGCGGCUUAUCGGCUUGUUGGUGGGGGGGGGGCUUACCCAGGCUUUGGCGGGUAGCCGGCCUGAGAGGGUGACCGGCCACAUUGGGACUGAGAUACGGCCGAGACUCCUACGGGAGGCAGCAGUGGGGAAUAUUGCACAAUGGGCGGAAGCCUGAUGCAGCAACGCCGCGUGCGGGAUGACGGCCUUCGGGUUGUAAACCGCUUUCGCCUGUGACGAAGCGUGAGUGACGGUAAUGGGUAAAGAAGCACCGGCUAACUACGUG